rnacentral:rRNA from 1 species
CCUACGGGAGGCUGCAGGGAGGAAUAUGGGGCAAUGGGAGGAAGAAGGAACGAGUUAAGUAGAGGGAAGGAUGACGGCCCUACGGGUUGUAAACUGCUUUUAUACGGGAAUAACGCGCCUUACGUGUAGGGCUUUGCAUGUACCGUAUGAAUAAGGACCGGCUAAUUCCGUGCCAGCAGCCGCGGUAAUACGGAAGGUCCGGGCGUUAUCCGGAUUUAUUGGGUUUAAAGGGAGCGUAGGCCGCAUGUCAAGCGUGUUGUGAAAUGUCCGGGCUCAACCCGGGCCUUGCAGCGCGAACUGGCGUGCUUGAGUCCGCGGAAAGCAGGCGGAAUUCGUCGUGUAGCGGUGAAAUGCUUAGAUAUGACGAAGAACCCCGAUUGCGAAGGCAGCUUGCUGCAGCGGAACUGACGCUGAUGCUCGAAAGCGCGGGUAUCGAACAGGAUUAGAUACCCCAGUAGUC